CCAAUAGCGUAUAUUAAAGUUGUUGCAGUUAAAAAGCUCGUAGUUGAAUUUCGGGAUCAAUAUAUCGGUCGUGCCAUCGGUACGUACUGGUAUGAUUGGUUUCUCCUUUCUGACGAACCAUGAUGUCAUUAAUUUGGUGUUAUGGGAAGUUAGGACUGUUACUUUGAAAAAAUUAGAGUGUUUAAAGCAGGCUUUAGCUUGAAUACAUUAGCAUGGAAUAAUGAAAUAGGACGUUCGAACCUAUUUUGUUGGUUUCUAGGAUCAACGUAAUGAUUAAUAGGGAUAGUUGGGGGCAUUAGUAUUCAAUUGUCAGAGGUGAAAUUCUUGGAUUUAUUGAAGACUAACUACUGCGAAAGCAUUUGCCAAGGAUGUUUUCAUUAAUCAAGAACGAAAGUUAGGGGAUCGAAGACGAUCAGAUACCGUCGUAGUCUUAACCAUAAACUAUGCCGACUAGGGAUCGGAUGAUGUUAAUUUUAAUGACUCAUUCGGCGCCUUACGGGAAA
rnacentral:rRNA from 1 species